rnacentral:rRNA from 1 species
GAUGAACGCUGGCGGCGUGCCUAAUACAUGCAAGUCGAGCGAACAGAUGAGGAGCUUGCUCCUCUGACGUUAGCGGCGGACGGGUGAGUAACACGUGGAUAACCUACCUAUAAGACUGGGAUAACUUCGGGAAACCGGAGCUAAUACCGGAUAAUAUAUUGAACCGCAUGGUUCAAUAGUGAAAGACGGUUUUGCUGUCACUUAUAGAUGGAUCCGCGCCGCAUUAGCUAGUUGGUAAGGUAACGGCUUACCAAGGCAACGAUGCGUAUCCGACCUGAGAGGGUGAUCGGCCACACUGGAACUGAGACACGGUCCAUACUCCUACGGGAGGCAGCAGUAGGGAAUCUUCCGCAAUGGGCGAAAGCCUGACGGAGCAACGCCGCGUGAGUGAUGAAGGUCUUCGGAUCGUAAAACUCUGUUAUUAGGGAAGAACAAAUGUGUAAGUAACUAUGCACGUCUUGACGGUACCUAAUCAGAAAGCCACGGCUAACUACGUG